rnacentral:lncRNA from 1 species
GUCUUUAGGUCGAUCUAGAGAUGAUCCAUCUUGAGUUGCCUCAUUUGUUUAUAGGCUAAAGACUAAAGAGAGAAUAUAUAUAAAUACACAAAAGCUGGAUUCAUGUGGGUCAUCCAUCAUUAAUCUUGUUCUUCAAUUCACCAACUUCGUAGGUUCCGCAUCUUUUGUACUUUCUUUCUAGUUUUAUAAAUCUUGUAAUAUCCCCAAAAAAAAAAAAAUUAUAUAAUAGAGUCAGAGAUACACAUCUGUUCUAUAUAUAAAGCUUUAUCAAAAUGCAUGGUAUCACAAUAAAAACAUAUUGACUAUUUCUAUAUUCAUCGACUAAUCUCAUAAUUUAUACAUAGAAAAAAAAAACCAAAUCCAAACGUCAAGGAUGUUAUUUUGUUGUUGUUAAUUUUGUUAACCUAUCUUUAUCAGUUUGGAAUCUGUUAUUAUAUUAUGCGUUGAAAAACUAGAUAUAUAUACCAGAAACAUGGUAAUGUUUUUUCUUUUAUUGGCAAGAAAUGGUAAUGUUUAGCCAUUAGACUUAUAACCAAAGUUGGUUUAUUUGACUAAAAAUGGAAUUGUCUUGCAUUAUUAUUACCUAAAAGCUCUUCCUUCUUGCAGAAUUAGUCUUUCAUGCAUAAGAUAGCCCCAAAAGUCUUACUUGGAAAUCAUAGCUUUGUAACUCAUCUCUUGCCACCAUCUUAUCUAAUUAGUGUUUAUAUAAUGAUUGUUUCUGAUUUUUUUUCCUUUUCUUUCAUUA